GACGAACGCUGGCGGCGUGCUUAACACAUGCAAGUCGAACGGAAAGGCCCUGCUUUUGUGGGGUGCUCGAGUGGCGAAGGGGUGAGUAACACGUGAGUAACCUGCCCUUGACUUUGGGAUAACUUCAGGAAACUGGGGCUAAUACCGGAUAGGAGCUCCUGCUGCAUGGUGGGGGUUGGAAAGUUUCGGCGGUUGGGGAUGGACUCGCGGCUUAUCAGCUUGUUGGUGGGGUAGUGGCGUACCAAGGGUUUGACGGGUAGCCGGCCUGAGAGGGUGACCGGCCACAUUGGGACUGAGAUACGGCCCAGACUCCUACGGGAGGCAGCAGUGGGGAAUAUUGCACAAUGGGCGGAAGCCUGAUGCAGCAACGCCGCGUGCGGGAUGACGGCCUUCGGGUUGUAAACCGCUUUCGCCUGUGACGAAGCGUGAGUGACGGUAAUGGGUAAAGAAGCACCGGCUAACUACGUG
rnacentral:rRNA from 1 species